rnacentral:lncRNA from 1 species
CUUCAGGAUUACAUUGUUUACAAACCAAUCCUGACCUGGCAACUCUACAUCAACAGAAAGGAAGAGAAGAAAAAUGCCCUCCUUAAGUGUCACAUGGACCAACCCCGGAGCUGAUGGAUACAGGUGAUACUAAAAUAAUAUUUUGAAAAUAGGCCAAUUCGCUUCUUAAUAAAAGGUAAGUAGGUUACCACAGCUCAUUUUUUUCUCACCAAUAAGACGUAUAGUCCUGUAGCGCAAUGCUGAUUUUCCAUACGGCUUUGCAAUGAACUGCAUUCUUUUGUUUCCUCAGAUUGAUUAAUUAUUCUGGGUUUCAAAGAGGGAGAAAUUCCUGGUACUUUAUGGAAAAGAAUUUAAAAAGCCUGCCUGAAACUUUAAAAACAAGGACUUUGUGAAGUGUAAGGAAGGAAAGGAAAGAAGGAGGGAAGAAGUAAAGACUGAAAACUCACUUGACCUAUUCCCCUUUAGAACCAAAAGUUAGCAUAGUCUUCUCAGCUUCUUUGGAUGUUCAUUUUCCUGCAUUCAGAUUCCCACUUUCCUGCUUCUCUCCAAACUCAGAAACCGGUAACGAUCCUGCUUUUAAAACACAUGUUUUAUUAAUAACAGUGAGAUUAUUACUGUGUUUUUCAGCUUGCUGCAAAAGGCAGUCAGCUCAUUUGAUUUUAUCUCACGUGCGGCCUCUGAGUUGAUGCCAUUGAAUUCAAAGAAGAGGGGAGGACUCAGAAAUAUGGCUUCGCCUAAAAGGAUAGAUUCCCAGAUCUAGAAAUACUGGGCCAAAGGGCAUGAACAUUUUUAAGGUGAAAAAAGGUAUCUUUGACAUCAGUUGUAAAGAAGCCACCAUGACGAACAGGAACAAUGCCAGGACCCACUUCCCAACUAUGGAGAAAAAUCUGUUCCGGGAAUACCAUGUGAACUCUGGAAUCCCAAGAGCCUGACUCAA